rnacentral:lncRNA from 1 species
UUAGGCUGCAGUACAACUUAUGCAAGCAUUUCUACCUUAGCUUGGGAGGUGCUGGAAAGGAGUUGAUGGAAGUAAGGUGAGGAAACGCAUUAAAAUGGUCCUUCUCCAAGCAUAGGGCACUUCUUUUUUUUUAAAGUUUUAUUUUUUCCUUUUUCUCCCCAAAGCCCCCUGGUACAUAGUUGUAUAUUCUUUGUUGUGGGUCCUUCUAGUUGUGGCAUGUGGGACGCUGCCUCAGCGUGGUUUGAUGAGCAGUGCCAUGUCCGCGCCCAGGAUUCUAACCAACGAAACGCUGGGCCGCCUGCAGCGGAGCGUGCGAACUUAACCUCUGGGCCACGGGGCCAGCCCCCAUAGGGCACUUCUUAAUCAGCUGUUCAUCUUUUGAUUUAGGGGUAGGGGGAGGAGGAGUAUGAGAGCUGAAAAGAAAGUAUGGCGGUAGGAUGGAAAUGCCCAGAUUUAAAGACAUCAUGCAGUGUCAUGCCAAGAUGGAGGACACUCUGGGCUGGCCAAGGGAAUGGGCCAAAACUGUGGGUCAGCAAAAGUUAAGCUUCAUGAGAAGAGGACAAGUCUGUUUUGUUCUGUCCGCUGUCGUAUUCCCAGCCAGUGUCAAUAAGGGGGCCUGGCACACGUCAGCAGACCUGUACCACUAUGCAGUUUAACACGCUUCUGUCAGGGGCCGGAAACAUGCAGACACGAUUUCCUUUGGUAGGUACCACCUUAACAGUAGAUGCUAAUGCCUAAGCGUGACAAAAAAAUGUGGAAGGUAGCUCCCAAACCCGUUCUGUCAGUUUGAGGAGUCAGCCUGAGCUCCUUUCUCAUCAUCUCUUGUUUUCCUUGGCAUAUUAUCCUUGUGGGUGUGGUCUGGGUCUCACCUCCAUUUUAUGUGAUCCUUUAGGACCCCACUUAAAUGUCACCUCUCAGAGAAAACUUCCCUGACCACCAUCUAAAGUAGGAAGCCCCUGCCUGAUGGUUCUCUUUCGUAGGGUGCUGUUCUUUCCCUUCUGGUGCUGAUCAUUACCUGUGGGCACAUACUCAUUUCUUGCCAUUUCUUUAAUGUCAUCUACCUUCCUGGAGCGUAAACCCGCUGAGGGCAGGACCAUGUCUGUUUUGUCACAACUGUAUGCAGAGUACCUGGCACAUGAAAGACACUCCAUAAAUCUUCGAUGGAUGCAGGGAUGAAAGACCACGUGAAGGAAGGAAGACAGGAGCCAAGGAGCUGGGCUGCAUUGUGGAUGUGCUCAAGGUCGGAUCAUCAGCCAAGCUCAGGACCAGAGCCUCCUCACUCCUUCUCUGAGCCCUCCUCCCAGGUCUAACUCUGUGCUUCACCAAAGCUGUUAAUCACCUUGCUGACAGGCAGGGUCAUCCAAGAAAGUAGAAAGAGG